UAUUAAAAAUUUCAUCCAUUUCUACUGUUAAAAAUAAACAUGACUGAUGGAAUAACCAAAUAGUUACAUGCAGCGUGCGUGUAAAAUGGAUGAAGAAACAAGUUUUUAACGGUAAAAAUGGAUGAAAUUUUUAACA
rfam:Gossypium hirsutum cultivar TM-1 unplaced genomic scaffold scaffold445.1, whole genome shotgun sequence